AUACGUAGGGCGCGAGCGUUGUCCGGAAUUACUGGGUGUAAAGGGAGCGUAGGCGGGAGUGCAAGUCAGAUGUGAAAUACAUGGGCUCAACCCAUGGGCUGCAUUUGAAACUGCAUUUCUUGAGUGAAGUAGAGGUAAGCGGAAUUCCUGGUGUAGCGGUGAAAUGCGUAGAUAUCUGGAGGAACACCGGUGGCGAAGGCGGCUUACGGGGCGUUUAAUGACGCUGAGGCUCGAAAGCGUGGGGAACAAACAGGAUUAGAUACCCUGGUAGGCCACGCUGUAAACGAUGAUUACUAGGUGUGGAGGGACUGACCCCUUCCGUGCCGCAGUUAACACAAUAAGUAAUCCGCCUGGGGAGUACUGCCGCAAGGUUGAAACUCAAAGGAAUUGACGGGG
rnacentral:rRNA from 1 species